UAAGACGACCUCCUGAGGAUGUCAUUCAGGGAAUUUUUGGAGUCAGUGUUCCUUCACUGAAUCCUAACUUAUUCAAUACUGUUAAGUCUAGCAGAUUGCUUUACGUAUGCUAAUCUCCUACAGGAGAAUAAUGUCCUCAUUAUCAGGUAUGCAUAGGAUCAUCAGGUAUGCAUAGGAUCAUCCAUCCUUUAUAAGAGGUACAUCCCGGCUCUGUGUCAUCAAGGCCCACCUCAGGCGGAGCUUUCUAACCGACAGAACCCCUGGCUGGUGUUCAGAAGUGGGACUUCUUGUCACCGUAAUAUAAAAGGCAUCUUUUUGAAGAUCAUUUAUUCCAACUAACAGGUAUUCCGAUGAUCAUGUGCUAUCAGUGGAGGAAAAAUACAGACAGGGUGAAGAAGAAUCAUUUGAAAGAAUAGAAUAGAAUAACGCAGUUGGAAGGGACCUUGGAGGUCUUCUACUCCAACCCUCUGCUUAGGCAGGAAACCCUACACCACUUCAGAUAAUUGGUUGUCCAAUCUCUUCUUAAAAACUUCCAGGGUUGGAGCAUUCACAACUUCUGGAGGCAAGUUGUUCCACUGAUUAAUUGUUCUAACUGUCAGGAAAUUUCUCCUUAGUUCUAAGUUGCUUCUCUCCUUGAUCAGUUUCCACCCAUUGCUUCUUGUCCUGCCUUCAGGUGCUUUGGAGAAUAGCGUGACUCCCUCUUCUUUGUGGCAACCCCUGAGAUAUUGGAACACUGCUAUCAUGUCAUGUCAGAAUAGAAACACCACAAUAAUAUAUGAGUACAGGUAAUCCUCCACUUACAACAGUUCAUUUAGUGACUGUUCAAAGUUACAACGGCACUGAAAAAAAGUGACUUAUGACUGCUUUUCACACUUAAGACCAUUGUGGAAUCCCCAGGGUCAUGUGAUCAAAAUUCAGAUGCUUGGCAAGUGACUCAUAUUUAUGACGGUUGCAGUGUCCUGGGGUCAUGUGAUCCCCUUUUGCAGCCUUCUGAGAAGCAAAGUCAAUGGGGAAGCCAGAUUCAUUUAACAACCAUGUUACUAAAUUAGCAACUGCAGUGAUUCACUUAACAAAUGUGACAAGAAAGGUUGUAAAAUGGGGCAAAA